rnacentral:rRNA from 1 species
CCUACGGGAGGCAGCAGUCGAGAAUCAUUCACAAUGGGGGAAACCCUGAUGGUGCGACGCCGCGUGGGGGAAUGAAGGUCUUCGGAUUGUAAACCCCUGUCAUGUGGGAGCAAAUUAACAAGAUAGUACCACAAGAGGAAGAGACGGCUAACUCUGUGCCAGCAGCCGCGGUAAUACAGAGGUCUCAAGCGUUGUUCGGAAUCACUGGGCGUAAAGCGUGCGUAGGCUGUUUCGUAAGUCGUGUGUGAAAGGCGCGGGCUCAACCCGCGGACGGCACAUGAUACUGCGAGACUAGAGUAAUGGAGGGGGAAGCGGAAUUCUCGGUGUAGCAGUGAAAUGCGUAGAUAUCGGGAGGAACACUCGUGGCGAAGGCGGGUUCCUGGACAUUAACUGACGCUGAGGCACGAAGGCCAGGGGAGCGAAAAGGAUUAGAUACCCGGGUAGUC